rnacentral:rRNA from 1 species
UACAGAGGUCUCAAGCGUUGUUCGGAUUCAUUGGGCGUAAAGGGUGCGUAGGCGGCGCGGUAAGUCGGGUGUGAAAUCUCGGAGCUUAACUCCGAAACUGCAUUCGAUACUGCCGUGCUUGAGGACUGGAGAGGAGACUGGAAUUUACGGUGUAGCGGUGAAAUGCGUAGAUAUCGUAAGGAAGACCAGUGGCGAAGGCGAGUUUCUGGACGGUAACUGACGCUGAGGCACGAAGGCCAGGGGAGCAAACGGGG